CGUGUAGGCGGUUUGGUAAGUCAGAUGUAAAAGGUCCCGGCUUAACCGGGGAUGGUCAUUUGAAACUGCCAGGCUUGAGUUCGAGAGAGGGUAGCGGAAUUCCCAGUGUAGCGGUGAAAUGCGUAGAUAUUGGGAGAACACCAGUAGCGAAGGCGGCUACCUGGCUCGCAACUGACGCUAAGGCGCGAAAGCGUGGGGAGCAAACA
rnacentral:rRNA from 1 species